ensembl:lncRNA
AGACCACAGAGCCCGUAUGCAGAGAGCGUCUGCUGCGUCCGAGAGGCGUGCAGAUCUAAUGAAGGCGUCCUCGUUAACUUGAAGUGGACAAAAUACCUAAUUUUUUUCACGACGGCCAUGCUGGAGCUCCCAAUGACAAGACUAUCAAUGGUGGAGACAUGUGCCUGUUUGACAUGGGUGGAGAGUACUACUGCAACUCUUCCGACAGCUGCUCUGCUCCUGCUCUUCUACAGCAGGACUUUCUCAGAGGCUGUGCUCAAAUCCUGCCAAGCUGCCAUGGCUGCCACAAAACCAGAAUAACCCCCCUCGCCCUUUCCUGGAUUGAGGAAAACAUUGCGGUGACCGCAGAUGGGAUCGAGUUGCUCACCUCCAUCCCACACACCAUCAAGGAGAUCAAGGAGUUCAUGGAGGAGGCCCAGGGUGACCCCAAGUCAUUCAGCCCCGUCAGCCAGAAGCUCUGAGAGGACAGGCUGGAGCUGCGGUUUCAUCCCAAAUCCACGUUUUAGAGCUUGUCUGAAAUGGGAAGUUAGCUUUGAUUUCCAGAUCUAUACAACGGUCUGAUAUGCAUGCUAACUUUUAAAUAUAAUUUGUUGGGCAUCAGUGACUGGUCUGGUUGUCUGAGAUUGUAUAUCCUCAGACAGCUUAACAUUUAAAGAUCACAUUAUAUUUUGAUCACUUUAGCAUCAAAUGCUCUUAAAACAAUGCAGGCUACCUGCAAUGGCAUGCAUCAUUGUUAGCAGAUUAUCUACAGAGAUUGCUGAAUCGGGUCUUUGAGCAGGUCCAAAGAAUAGAAUAUUGUGAUUCACUUGCUUUUUAGAAAUAUAAGAUACAUGUUUGCAUGGAAGUA